rnacentral:siRNA from 1 species
GGUCUUCCUCACACAUACAAGCCU